rnacentral:rRNA from 1 species
GACAGAGGGUGCAAACGUUGCUCGGAAUCACUGGGCGUAAAGGGCGUGUAGGCGGGAAGGAAAGUCGGGCGUGAAAUCCCUGGGCUCAACCCAGGAACUGCACUCGAAAACUUCUUUUCUUGAGUGCCGGAGAGGAAAGCGGAAUUCCUGGUGUAGAGGUGAAAUUCGUAGAUAUCAGGAGGAACACCAGUGGCGAAGGCGGCUUUCUGGACGGUAACUGACGC